UACGUAGGGGCUAGCGUUAUCCGGAAUUACUGGGCGUAAAGGGUGCGUAGGUGGUUUCUUAAGUCAGAGGUGAAAGGCUACGGCUCAACCGUAGUAAGCCUUUGAAACUGGGAAACUUGAGUGCAGGAGAGGAGAGUGGAAUUCCUAGUGUAGCGGUGAAAUGCGUAGAUAUUAGGAGGAACACCAGUGGUGAAGGCGGCUUCCUGGUCUGUAACUGACACUGAGGCGCGAAAGCGUGGGGAGCAAAUAGGAUUAGAUACCCCGUAGUCCCUGAGCGGGCUGG
rnacentral:rRNA from 1 species